rnacentral:rRNA from 1 species
CACGGAUAACAUACCGAAAGGUAUGCUAAUACGGGAUAAUAUAUUUGAGAGGCAUCUCUUAAAUAUCAAAGGUGAGCCAGUACAGGAUGGACCCGCGUCUGAUUAGCUAGUUGGUAAGGUAACGGCUUACCAAGGCGACGAUCAGUAGCCGACCUGAGAGGGUGAUCGGCCACAUUGGAACUGAGACACGGUCCAAACUCCUACGGGAGGCAGCAGUGGGGAAUAUUGCACAAUGGGCGAAAGCCUGAUGCAGCAACGCCGCGUGAGUGAUGAAGGCCUUCGGGUCGUAAAACUCUGUCCUCAAGGAAGAUAAUGACGGUACUUGAGGAGGAAGCCCCGGCUAACUACGUGCCAGCAGCCGCGGUAAUACGUAGGGGGCUAGCGUUAUCCGGAUUUACUGGGCGUAAAGGGUGCGUAGGCGGUCUUUCAAGUCAGGAGUGAAAGGCUACGGCUCAACCGUAGUAAGCUCUUGAAACUGGGAGACUUGAGUGCAGGAGAGGAGAGUGGAAUUCCUAGUGUAGCGGUGAAAUGCGUAGAUAUUAGGAGGAACACCAGUUGCGAAGGCGGCUCUCUGGACUGUAACUGACGCUGAGGCACGAAAGCGUGGGGAGCAAACAGGAUUAGAUACCCUGGUAGUCCACGCUGUAAACGAUGAGUACUAGGUGCCGGGGGUUACCCCCCUCGGUGCCGCAGCUAACG